UAUUCAAGUGUGGGAGGGCGUGGGGCAAUGAUGCGGGCUGCUCCUCCGCCUCUGGGGUUCAGCCUGGGGCUCGGCCAGGCUGGCGGUUGGGAAGGCGAGCAUGGACCCUGGAACCCAUUGUCACACCUACUCCCAACCUUGAUGCCGCGGUGACCUCCCGACAAGCUGGCACCUUCGCCAUGGAGUGGCACACACACCUGCUUCAGGACGAGGAGAAGUUGAAUGGGUGAUGCAGGGAGCCGGAGGCACUGCAGGACCAGAGGCCACCCCUCACCAAGGUGGGCAACACGUCAGUGACAAGGAUGCACUCCAUCCGCCCUUCCGACUUAAUAUGAACAAACAUCUGCUGGCACUUCACUCUCACCCUCCAGACCUCAGGCAGGAUGUCUCUUGCCCCUCACGCCACCCGAGCACCAUUUAGGGGCUGGAAUUUUGGGAGAAGUCCUGUUGACUCAGUGGCACUAUGUUGGUUCCACGGACACAGUGCGAAGCCAGCCCAGAGAUGAAGCGGGAGAAUGCAGCUGAGUGAAGGGAGGGCUUUUUCUUAACUCAGGUGGGUAGGGAAAGCCCCUCUGAGGAGGUGACACUUGUAACAAGACUUGGAAUUCAGGGACAUGGAGAAGGGGAGGGUGGCUGGGGCCUGGAGAUGAGGAGCCACAGCAGGUUGCAUUUGCCUCUAGUCUCGAGGCUUAAGCGGGGCAGUGAUGAGGCAUGAUGUCAGCUUUUGAAUGUUCACUCAGGCUGCUGGAGGGAAGAGGGGCUGUGGGGGAUGACGUGAGAAAGACUGGUGCGGGGUGGGGGGGUGGCAGAUGGGGUGCUCCUACAGUGGUCUAAAGAGAUGAUGCCAGCCAGAACUGGUGUGCUAGCUGUAAGAAGAGAGAGAGAUGAUUCGAUUCUGGGUCCAGUGUGGGGACAGAUGUAGACCUGGAGCGGGCUUGUGAUAAAGGGUCCGGCGACAUUGAGAUCCUGAAGAGUAACAGACUUGCUGUCCUGAGCGCCUGUGGUCCUUGCUGCUGAGAAAGGCUGUCCUUUUCCUAGUGGCUUCUUGGCUAGGGGGUCCUGCCCUCCACAGCUCUGAGAAUCCAUCCUCAGUGUCCCCCCCCUCUUCCCUCCAACAGGCGGGGCUGCCCCUCCCACUCCACUCCCCCCUUCCCCACCUUGGCAGUUCUCUGCCUUUGGUCUCUGGCCAUCUGUCAGCAGCCCCCAGAGUCCUGUGCCUUUAAGAGAGGGAGAGAAGGGCCCAAGGAAAUCUGUCUCCUCAAAGUCCUGCCUUAAUGAGAGGCAGAGAGAAGAUAAUAAAAGCAAGAACCAGCCUGGGGGGAAAAAAGAAAAGAUUUUUAUCCUCCCAACCCGGCAAGUUCCCCUCUGGCUCUGAGAAGCCUCAAAAGAUUUCUCUCCGAACAUAUGAGUAAUACCCGGCGAUAACGCUGUCCUCGGAGCACAGGGAGAAGAUGGAAUGAUUCUGUGUUUGAUUAGAAUUAAUUUCCAACCUGCAGCCUUCCUGGUGCCAACCUCCCACGCUCCCGCCCCUGCAGAGCUUGGCGGCCAGGGAAGCAAGGGAGGAAGGAGGAGAAGGGAGCCUGGGGAAGAGGGAGGCAGAGGGAGCUCUGGGCUCUGGAGCACUUCCUGGGACUGGGAGAAGAGCAGAGCGGUGUCCUCCACUGGCUGCCUCCAGAGAGAGUUGGCCAGUGGGGCUGCUGGUCUAAUAACAACUGCAGAAAAAGAGCCAGUUGGAUUUCCUGGGGUCUGGGGAGGCAUGACUGGCUGAAGCAGCCAGUCAGGCUGGGCAGCCAGUCAUUGCUGUGUGAUUUUGGGUAGCUUGUGUGCCCUCUCUGGUCUCAGUUUCCUUAUCUGGCUUUGACAAGUUUUUAGGGCUUAGUGGCUAUGGGUUUAGGACAUGAGCAACGUACCUGUGCAGGAUCCAGUUUGGUUCUUACGGGGGUUGGGUCCCGGAAGUUUCCCUAGAUGUUAGAUUGGGGAAUGAUGGUGGGGCAUGGUGGAGGGGCCAGGCUAAAACUGGAGUAUUGAGACCUCUUUCUUGGGUCAUCUCUAGGGGAUUGGGGUAAAUCUCCCCAAGUGACUCUUCAUCACUUCAUUCACUCAUUAUUUUUUAUUCACCGUAGGCUAUAUGCCUAAUGUGGGCUGCAUGCCUGAUGCAGGCUGUAUGGGGUGACAAGACACAGUCCCUGACCUUGCAGAUCUCUCAAUAUGGUGGCAGAAAGCAAGCACGAGGCUUUGGGGAGGCUGAGGGCACGCCCCUGACCUGGGCUUUGGAGGUCAUAGGCUUCCUGGGGAAGCGGACGUCUAAGACCCACAGAGUGAAGGUGGGGAAGUCAGGAGCCUUGGGUUAGGAUGGGUUAGGACAGCACCAGGAAGAGGGAAAGGGUAGCAGAGGUGCAGGGUGAGAACAAGCAUGGUCUGUUGUGAGGGGUGUGGGGUGGGGGGGAUUGAAACAGCCAGUGUGAUGGGAAGGAGGCCCAGGAUGGGAGGCGGCAGGGCAGGGAUGGGUUCAGAUUUCAUCCCAGGACCCAAGGUGGGGAGGCCCUGAUUGGCAUCUCUCCAGGAGGGUAUCCCGCCCAAAGCAUUUCAUGUGCCCAUGAGAAGACAUGGGGGUGGGUUCAUGACUCUCGGGUCUUUUAAGUCCCUCCACCCCCUCUGGGAGGUCUCCCUUCUCUCACCCUGGAAGUGGACAGUUAUGGUUGAAACACAUGUGUGUGGGAACAAGACCUCUUUAGCAUGGAUCUAGCGCUUGAACGGGUAAAGGCUUUGGAGAGACAGGCUUUGGCUCCCUUGCAGAGUCUCUUAGUGCUAGAUCUGGCUGCCCUGAUGAGAGUGACCUCUUCCUAUUCAUGGAGUGGCUGGGUGGCUGGCUGUCCAGCUCUGGAAGGAAGGGUGAUUGGGACGGACAAAUUUUCAUCUUAAAGAGGUGCGACCACUGGAAUGAGCACAGCUAAAUCUGGUUUUCCAGUAUUGGCUCUGUCAUGUACAAGUUGUGCAUCCUUGGGGAAGUCAAUUAACUUCUCUGAGCCUCAGUUUCCUUAUUUGUAAAAUGAUAUUAAUAGUACCUGCUUCCUUGGACUUCCCAUCAUGGCUCAGUGGUUAGUGAACCCGACUAGCAACCAUGAGGUUUCGGGUUUGAUCCCUGGCUUCACUAAGUGGGUUAAGUAAGGAUACGGCAUUGCCAUGAGCUGUAGUGUAGGUCGAGGAUGCAGCUUGGAUCCUGUGUUCUGUGGCUGUGGCAUAGGCUGGCGGCUACAGCUCCAAUUGGACCCCUACCCUUGGAACUUCCAUAUGCCAAGGGUGUGACCCUAAAAAAAGUAAAAAAAAACAAACAAACAAAAAUAGCACCUGCCUCCCAGGGUGGUUUGGAGGGUUAAACAAGAUGAUGCUGGUGGUGGUGGUGAUGACACUGAUGGUGAUGACAAUGACAUUAACAGCUGAUGUUUAUUGAGUCUUAAACCCUUUUAGUGGAUGGUGCUAUAGACUGUUCAGAUCCCUGCUUCAGGACCGAGGCACCCAUCCCUGGUCUCCAGGAGUGUUGCCAGCUUGGAAUUUCUCUCAGCCCAGAUCAAGGUCACAUCCAUUCCUGAGGAUCAGCUCCCUGGCCCCUGUGGGAGAACUUGAAGAAUGAUUCCCUGCCCCAGAACUCCAGGUUUUGGCAACUGCAGAGCCGGUCAACUUCUUCCUCUGCCCAGACCCGAUUCCCACCCCUACCCACCCCCCACCCCCACCCCCACCCCUGCACAGGUGCUUUUCCAAGAGCCUGCUCAGAUAAACCUCCUGCAUCCAAAUCUUCAUUGGCUGUUUCUCAGGAGGCUCACGUGGGACAGCCCUUUGCCUGUAGUCUCAGGUCAUACUCCUAACAGCCCUUUGCAGAGACAUCAUGAUUAAACUGUUUUUCACACAAGGAAACUAGAGUGGAGAGAUGAAAUCUCUACUUGCACCUGCAGAGGUAGUAAGUGGCAAAACUUGGUCUUGAACGCAGGGUACCUGCCUCCACAACACAGCUUGUAACCAUCCUCUGGAGCCUGACCCAUCACAAAGGGCCCUCCCUGCCCCGAGUUCCUGGGGGGAAGGCUCUGGACCAUUGCCACUUGCUCUGAGCUCCCCCCAUCCCCUCUCCUUGUUCCCAUCUUGCCCGCAGCCUGGGGAGUAGCAGCAGUGGCAGCAGGCUUCAUGAGCCUCCCCUGUGUGCCUGCAUCACCCAGUGGAAAACAACACCUCUCUCGGCCACCCACUCCCCAGCUGCCGAUGUAACACCAUUGUCACUGCCACCAGGAUGUAUUUCUACCUGACGCAGUUUGAAAAAGAACCUGAAGAGGUAAGUUAUUUAAUUAGAUCGUGAGUUUCUGGAGGGCAGAAACUACCCUGGUGACCUCUCCCCUUCGGAUGGGCUAAUACUUGGUGGCAUCUACCCUUACCCUCUACCCUCCCCGAGCUGGGUUUUCUGCCUCUCUCUGUUGUAAUAAUCUGUUGCUGUGUCUUUGUUUUCCACUGAAAACACUGUGAGCUCAGUGAGGACAGAAACUCUAUGUUCCAUGUUUCAGUAUGUCAUCCAACUACCUGUCCAUUCAUUCAACAAGCAGACAUCAUCCAUCCAUCCAUCCACGUAUCCAUCCAUCUCUUCAAUCAUCCAUUUGUGUAACUAUUCGUCUCUCCAUCAUCCAUCCAUCCAUCCAUCCAUCCAUGCAUCCAUCUCUUCAAUCAUCCAUUUGUGUAACCAUCCAUCUCUCCAUUUAUCUAUCCAUCCAUAUAUCCACACAACCAUCCAUCUAUUCUUUCAAAAUGCAAGGGAGUUGCACAAAUGAAGCCAAACUGGAUGAACUACAAGCAAUUAUCCUUUACCCCAGUUCUCAUUUUCUUUCUUUCUUUUUUUUAAAGCCAUUGGCAUUUUAGUAAAAAUUAGUCCUUUCGAGUUUUCUUGGAGUGCAGUGGGUUAAGGAUCUGGAGCUAUCACUGCAGUGGUUUGUGUGGGUGCUGUGUCGAGGGUUUGAUCCUUGGCCCUGGAACCUCCACAUGCUGUGGGCGUGGCCCAAGAAAUCCACAAAAAAUUAGUCCUGUGGUGGCUUUCAGCUCUCUGCUAGGGUGUGGGACAAACAGGUCUUGGGACGGGUCCCAGUGCUCCUUUUCUUCCAAGCACUGUGCUCUGUGUAGCACAUAUAUUAACUAAUUGAGUCAGUGGAAUGAAAUCUCCCAAAGACUCCAUGAAGUAGGAUUAUUAUCACCCUUUCUGCUGAGGAAAGUAAAAUCGAGAGAGUUUUAGUAGGUUGCCCAAGGUCACAUGGUUGGUCAGUGUCAAAGUGAGCUUUAUUUAUUUAAUUUUUUGGCCUCACUCUUGGCCUGCAGCAGGUCUUGGGCUGGGGAUGGAACCUGGACCACAGCAGGGGCCUGAGCCACUGCAGUGACAGUGCUGGAUCCUUAACACGCUGUGCCACCAGGGAACUCCCAGAGCGAGCUUUAAAACUGGUCAUCUGACUGCAGAGCCGGUGAUCUUUGGCCUCACUGUGGUGGGAAACAUUCCUGGGGGAAUGAUUUAAGCGGGGCCCUUAUACCCUCUCUGCCUCUCUCGCCCCCAGUCCUCAUCUCCAAAAGCACAGAGGGCUCUCUCACUGUCCUCUCCCCCAUCCUCCCCUACUGAGAGCAACGUUUCUAACCCAAGGGUAGAGAGGGAAAGAGUGAGAAAGGCCUGAGGGGGCUGUUCCAUCUGGGCCAGGUCAGGGGUGAGGAGGAAGACAAACUCUUCACUGGCAGCCAAGCCUGCUUCUCCCAUGCUCUCCCCUGGGGAGGGUCGGAGCAUCGUGGGUUGCGCAGCUCUGCUCUGAGCAGGCGGCGAUGAGUCAGGGCGUCUAGCAGGGCCAGGGAGGGCCAAGUGAUGCUAGAGGCAUUGGGCCCCAGAAGUCCUUGGGGUUUUGGAGAAAGGAAGCGCGGCUGUUCCAAGUUCACGGGAAGCCAAAUGGAAUUGGCAGAGAGCACUCCUCCGGAGUCCGUGGGGGUUCGCCACCUGACCCCCCGCCCCAACACCUUCAAUUCCCCAGAUCCAGAACCAAGCCCAUUUCCUUUCUGUGUCAUCUCCUCUACCUCCUUCUUUCUCACUCUGGAAAGGACAGCACCAUCGAAUCCUUUUGCAUCUGUUCCACUUUUCUUUCCCUGAUUCUUUAGGUAACAGCACCCCUUUUCUUGGGAUAAUUGCUCCUCUCCCAUUUUAGUUCUAUCAGUGCUCUGCGCUUUCUGGCUGUGGGGAUGGGGACCAUCCGGAUUAGGCUGAUGAUCCUUUUCCCCCAGGCCUCAGCUCCCGGUGUGAGAUGGUCAUGUGACCAAGCCUGACCAAGCAGAGCUCUUCCUUGGGAUUUUUCUAACUGGAGCUGAUAGGGAGAAAUGUCUCUUCUUGGAUGGUGACAAGGCCUUAAAGUCCUGAGCUUGGAGUUCCACUGUGGCUCUAAGUGGGUUAAGAACCUGACUAGUAUCCGUGAGGAUUUGGGUUCGAUCCCUGGCCUAGCUCAUUGGGUGAAGGCUCCAACAGUACUGCAAGCUGUGGUGUACGUCACAGACGCAGCUUGGAUCUGGUGUUGCUAGGCCAGCAGCUGCAACUCUGAUUCAACCCCUAGCCUGGGAACCUCUAUAUGCCACAAGAGUGGCCCUAAAAAGCAAAAAAAAAAAAAAAAAAAAAAA
rnacentral:lncRNA from 1 species